GGGGCUGUAGCUCAGUGGUGGAGUUCUUGUCUAGCACAUAUGAGGCACUGGGUUCGAUCCUCAGCACCACA
rnacentral:tRNA from 1 species